UUAGUUUGUUGGUGGGGUAAUGGCCUACCAAGACGAUGAUGUGUAGCUGGACUGAGAGGUCGAACAGCCACAUUGGGACUGAGACACGGCCCAAACUCCUACGGGAGGCAGCAGUAGGGAAUUUUCGGCAAUGGAGGAAACUCUGACCGAGCAACGCCGCGUGAACGAUGAAGUAUUUCGGUAUGUAAAGUUCUUUUAUUGAAGAAGAAAAAAUAGUGGAAAAACUAUCUUGACGUUAUUCAAUGAAUAAGCCCCGGCUAACUAUGUGCCAGCAGCCGCGGUAAGACAUAGGGGGCGAGCGUUAUCCGGAAUUAUUGGGCGUAAAGGGUGCGUAGGCGGUUAGGAAAGUCUAUAAUUUAAUUUCAGUGCUUAACGCUGUCUUGUUAUAGAAACUACCUUGACUAGAGUUAGAUAGAGGCAAGCGGAAUUCCAUGUGUAGCGGUAAAAUGUGUAAAUAUAUGGAGGAACACCAGAAGCGUAGGCGGCUUGCUGGGUCUUGACUGACGCUGAGGCACGAAAGCGUGGGUAGCAAACAGGAUUAGAUACCCUGGUAGUCCACGCCGUAAACGAUGAGUACUAAGUGUCGGGAUAAAACUCGGUACUGAAGUUAACACAUUAAGUACUCCGCCUGAGUAGUACGUACGCAAGUAUGAAACUUAAAGGAAUUGACGGGACUCCGCACAAGCGGUGGAUCAUGUUGUUUAAUUCGAAGAUACACGAAAAAUCUUACCAGGUCUUGACAUGCUCUGCAAAGCUAUAGAAAUAUAGUGGAGGUUAUCAGGGACACAGGUGGUGCAUGGUUGUCGUCAGUUCGUGUCGUGAGAUGUUAGGUUAAGUCCUAAAACGAGCGCAACCCUUGUCGUUAGUUACCAGCACGUAAUGGUGGGCACUUUAACGAGACUGCCAAUUAAACAUUGGAGGAAGGUGAGGAUUACGUCAAAUCAUCAUGCCCCUUAUGAUCUGGGCUACAAACGUGAUACAAUGGCUGUUACAAAGAGUAGCUGAAGCGCGAGUUUUUAGCCAAUCUCAAAAAAGCAGUCUCAGUUCGGAUUGAAGUCUGUAACUCGACUUCAUGAAGUUGGAAUCGCUAGUAAUCGCGAAUCAGCAUGUCGCGGUGAAUACGUUCUCGGGGUUUGUACACACCACCCGUCAAACCACGAAAGUUAGCAAUACCCGAAAGCAGCGGCUUAACUUCGCAAGAAGAGGGAACUGUCUAAGGUAGGGUCGAUGAUUGGGGUUAAGAAAACCCAGAGCUUCUUGUCUCUCCGUGUUUGCUGAUUUCUACCUUCCUCAUUACAGAGACCCGGUAGACCACCCCUCUGUGUCCUCACGAUGCCCUUGGUCAACUUCCUGUGAAC
rnacentral:rRNA from 1 species